rnacentral:rRNA from 1 species
UACGUAGGGUGCAAGCGUUGUCCGGAAUUAUUGGGCGUAAGGAGCUCGUAGGCGGUUUGUCGCGUCUGCUGUGAAAACCCGAGGCUCAACCUCGGGCCUGCAGUGGGUACGGGCAGACUAGAGUGCGGUAGGGGAGAUUGGAAUUCCUGGUGUAGCGGUGGAAUGCGCAGAUAUCAGGAGGAACACCGAUGGCGAAGGCAGAUCUCUGGGCCGUAACUGACGCUGAGGAGCGAAAGCAUGGGGAGCGAACAGG